CCUCCUUUGCGCUCCUCGAGUAGAACCAUCACAAAUUGUGGUACCGUCAUCAUCUUCUGGCGGCCAUGCAGAUAUAAUCCAGAAGCUGGAUGCCAUUGAAACCCGACUCACUGCCAUUAAAAAGUCCCUAACAGACAAACCCUAUUCUGCAUUUCGAUUACGUUCCCACUCUACGCUCCGUCUGAGUCGAAAAUAGGUAUUCUGAGUUACGAUUGGAUUGAAAGAAGAAGAGGAAGAGCUGUAGCUCUUUCGAAGUCAGCUGUUUGCCUUGAAACGUGUAAAAAUGAAACACAACAAAGCAAAAAUACACAAAUUAUUGUUGGUUUAUUAAAAUAAAGAAAUUAUAUCGCGUUUUUUUUAAACACUAACAUGGAAUUAGUAGCGGCAGCGAUAUUACUUGAGGAGGAGAGCAAUGCAUUAUUCAAAAUAUGCCCUACAUUACUCUAUUAAAUAAAAACAAUUGCAUUCAGUGCAUUUUAC